AUUGAACGCUGGCGGCAUGCCUUACACAUGCAAGUCGAACGGCAGCACGGGUGCUUGCACCUGGUGGCGAGUGGCGAACGGGUGAGUAAUACAUCGGAACGUACCUUAUCGUGGGGGAUAACGCAGCGAAAGUUGCGCUAAUAACGCAUACGCCCUGAGGGGGAAAGCGGGGGACCGUAAGGCCUCGCGCGAUUAGAGCGGCCGAUGUCUGAGUAGCUUGUUGGUGAGGUAAAAGCUCACCAAGGCGAUGAUCAGUAGCUGGUCUGAGAGGACGAUCAGCCGAACUGGGACUGAGACACGGCCCAGACUCCUACGGGAGGCAGCAGUGGGGAAAUUUGGACAAUGGGGGCAACCCUGAUCCAGCAAUGCCGCGUGAGUGAAGAAGGCCUUCGGGUUGUAAAGCUCUUUUGUCAGGGAAGAAACAGCAGCUCUAACACAGUCUGCGAAUGACGGUACCUGAAGAAUAAGCACCGGCUAACUACGUGCCAGCCGCCGCGGUAA
rnacentral:rRNA from 1 species